AAUCUUCUAAAAUGGGGGGAACCCUGAUCCAGCCAGUCCGCGUGUGCGAUGAAGGCCAUCGGGUUGUACAGCACUUUUGUCAGGGAAGAAAUUGCGCGGGCUAAUAGCCUGCGUGGCUGACGGUACCUGCAGAAUAAGCACCGGCUAACUACGUUCCAGCAGCCGCGGUAAUACGUAGGGUGCAAGCGUUAAUCGGAAUUACUGAGCGUAAAGGGUGCGCAGGCGGCUCGGAAAGAAAGAUGUGAAAGCCCAGGGCUCAACCUUGGAACUGCAUUGUUAACUACCGGGCUAUAGUGUGUCAGAGGGAGGUGGAAUUCCGCGUGUAGCAGUGAAAUGCGUAGAUAUGCGGAGGAACACCGAUGGCGAAGGCAGCCUCCUGGGAUAACACUGACGCUCAGGCACGAAAGCGUGGGGAGCAAA
rnacentral:rRNA from 1 species